CCUGAGUGUCCAGAGUUCUCCAGUGUCCCAGUGCCUAACCCAGGCUGCAGUGUUCUACCUGCAGGUUUUAAUACAUCCAGGCAGAAUUGCUUCUGAAGUCACAAGUGGACACUCAGCCUCCUGCCCUUCGUUCCACUUUCAAGAGUGACCAUUCCAUUUGCUGUGAACCCAGGGACAAUUUUCAGAUAGUCAGAGAUGGACCGGGAGGGGCAAAUCUGCCAGAAAUGAAAAUGCCUGAGAAAGAUCUGAGUGCUUAUCUGUCAGGAAAGCUGUUGCAGAAGGGGUUCCUUGGGGAAGGGACAAAAGGAUGCGCCUGGCAAGGUGACUUCGGGUAAGGCACCGUCCCUCCUUGGCACAGUCGGAAGCCCUUCCAGCUAAGAGGUGCUUACACCAGCAGAGGGAUUAUUGUGCAGGCAAGGGUUGGUUGGGGCCUGACCCCAAGGUCACUGCUUCACCUCUAACCCCACCUCUAACUAGGUUAAACUCACAUGCAGGAUAUGGGGGUCAGGGAGCCCCUUUUCCCCUGCCUUGGCUCUAGAUCCCUUCUCUAGGUGUUAGGGAGAUCCUGACCGUCUGGUAGAGGAGGAGCUAGCUGGUGAGGAGCUAUAGAAGGAAGGUGGAGAAGAAGAGCCAAGACAGGGGUCUUGGCCUGAAAUGUCCACCUACUCUGGUAGGCGGUGGGAAGCCAUGGAAAGUUAUUAAACAGAGAGGAAGGGGAUUAGAUUUAGAGAAACUGAAGGCAAGAACUGUAAGAGAGCCAGGGCCAAUCUGAUGAGGGUGGGGGGCAGAGGAGGUGGCAAGGAGAGAGGAUGACAGGCCUGAGAGAUGUCCCUAGUAGACAGUCUGACUUGGGAAGGAAUCAAGUGUGGGAGUUAAGAGCAGGAAG
ensembl:lncRNA